GGAAGUAAAAGUCGUAACAAUGUCUCCGUAGGUGAACCUGCGGAGGGAUCAUUACAGAGUUCAUGCCCUACCGGGUAGAUCUCCCACCCUAUGUUAUUAUUACUUUGUUGCUUUGGCGGGCCGUUAGGCUCCGGCCCGACUACCGGCCCCGGCUGGUAAGCGCCCGCCAGAGGACCCAAAACCCUGAAUAUUAGUGUCGUCUGAGUACUAUAUAAUAGUUAAAACUUUCAACAACGGAUCUCUUGGUUCUG
rnacentral:misc_RNA from 1 species